rnacentral:other from 2 species
CGCUGCCUGCGGUGUUGGUGAUGUCCGCCGUAAUUCCUUUGAGCCUUAAUUCACCGUUCAGGGAGCCAGCAGUGGACGCGGGCGAGUACGCCGGCAUGUCCGGCGUCCCAAAGCGGCCCUCGGCGCCCACUUGGAUCACACCGGUUCAAGGCACCGCGGACACACGGCAUUGGCGGGCAGCGU